GAAUAUUAGUCAAUGCUCGAAAGAGUGAACUAGCUAACUGAAAUCAAUUAUAAUAAUUGAUAACAUAAGAGAAAAUAAUGAUAUUACCUUAUUAUUAGUGUCGUCCAAAACUGGUGCCAGAAGACUCGGUAAGGCCAGAGACACAAACGUUAAUCAUCUUAAUCAGGCGUAAAGGGUUUGUAGGCGGCUUAAAAAUUUACUUAUAAAAAAUAAUAAAAAAACCAAAAAUAAGUAAAGAAUAAAAGCUAGAAUCAAAUAGAGGAUAUAUGAAAGAAUACUUAGAGUAGGUCUGAUAUCCUUAGAUACUAAGUAGAAUAUUAAAGGCGAAAGCUUUUUUCCAUUAAUGAUUGACGCUCAGAAACGAAGGUGAGGAUAGGAAAUAGGAUUAGAUACCCAGAAUACCCCUCUCUGUCAACGAUGAAUGGUAGUUUAUUAGUAAAAAUUAUUAAUGACAAUGUUAACACGAUAACCAUUCCGCCUUGUGAGUACAACUGCAAAGUUGAAAACAAAAAAAUUAGUCGGUUUCGGAGCAAACGAAGUGAAGCAUGUUAUUUAAUU
rnacentral:rRNA from 1 species